GGCGAGGUGGCAGAUAGUUAAUGUAGUAGAUUGUAAAUCUAUUAAUGGGGGUUAGAUUCCUUCCUUCGCUA
rnacentral:tRNA from 1 species